rnacentral:rRNA from 1 species
CUUGCUACCCGCUGACNAGCGGCGGACGGGUGAGUAAUGCAUAGGAAUCUGCCCGGUAGUGGGGGAUAACCUGGGGAAACCCAGGCUAAUACCGCAUACGUCCUACGGGAGAAAGGGGGCUCCGGCUCCCGCUAUUGGAUGAGCCUAUGUCGGAUUAGCUAGUUGGUGAGGUAAUGGCUCACCAAGGCGACGAUCCGUAGCUGGUCGGAUGAUCAGCCACAUCGGGACUGAGACACGGCCCGAACUCCUACGGGAGGCAGCAGUGGGGAAUAUUGGACAAUGUGAGAGGCGAAAGCCUGAUCCAGCCAUGCCGCGUGUGUGAAGAAGGCCCUCGGGUUGUAAAGCACUUUCAGCGAGGAAGAACGCCUAGUGGUUAAUACCCACUAGGAAAGACAUCACUCGCAGAAGAAGCACCGGCUAACUCCGUGCCAGCAGCCGCGGUAAUACGGAGGGUGCAAGCGUUAAUCGGAAUUACUGGGCGUAAAGCGCGCGUAGGUGGCUUGAUAAGCCGGUUGUGAAAGCCCCGGGCUCAACCUGGGAACGGCAUCCGGAACUGUCAAGCUAGAGUGCAGGAGAGGAAGGUAGAAUUCCCGGUGUAGCGGUGAAAUGCGUAGAGAUCGGGAGGAAUACCAGUGGCGAAGGCGGCCUUCUGGACUGACACUGACACU